GAAGGCGUAGCCCGGGGGCAGGCCGGGCGUCGCGUUCGCGGUGCCGUAGAAGCUGUGCCGGAUCGCGAGUUGAAGGCCCGUCGCCUUCGC
rnacentral:tRNA from 1 species